rnacentral:rRNA from 1 species
AUACGUAGGGUGCAAGCGUUAAUCGGAAUUACUGGGCGUAAAGCGUGCGCAGGCGGUUUUGUAAGACAGAGGUGAAAUCCCCGGGCUCAACCUGGGAACUGCCUUUGUGACUGCAAGGCUAGAGUACGGCAGAGGGGGAUGGCAUUCCGCGGGUAGCAGUGAAAUGCGUAGAUAUGCGGAGGAACACCGAUGGCGAAGGCAAUCCCCUGGGCCUGUACUGACGCUCAUGCACGAAAGCGUGGGGAGCAAACAGGAUUAGAUACCCUGGUAGUCCACGCCCUAAACGAUGUCAACUGGUUGUUGGGUCUUCAUUGACUCAGUAACGAAGCUAACGCGUGAAGUUGACCGCCUGGGGAGUACGGCCGCAAGGUUGAAACUCAAAUGAAUCGGCGGGG